CAGGCGGGCAGGCCUUACCCUUGAGGUACCGUCAGUCACAAGCACCUUUAAGUCCAUACAGCCGUAUGGGCAAACAAAAGUUGGGGCAAGGGGUACCCACAGUUAAAAUACAAACAGGUGAGAACAUAACAGAGUAUGUUGCUCGAAUUGGUGGAGCGUAAGAUACUAAAAAUGCUGUUCAGUCUGGAGGUUCCUUGUGUGCUUGUGUUUUUGUUGAGGUUUUUCAUAGCCCUUUACCCAGCAGGUUAAAUAACAUAAUCAAACACAUAAUCAACUGUGCCAAGCCUUUACUAAAUAAAACGUUCCUGUUCCUUUCAGUGCGACAUUGCAAAACUGCUAGACAAGGCCUCAACUGGGCAGUGAAGCUGUGGUUGCUAAAGAUGACAGUCCUGGAGCACAGUGCCACAGAGAGCUGCGUUUUCACUCACCUCAGAAUUUGCAUGUGAAAAUCUCUGAAUCAAAAGUGGUCAAGAUCCAGAAGGAUAAGGGAUGGCUGAAUGGAAGCUGGAGCGCAGCAGAUAGCUGGUCUGUGACAGAGCCUAACAGAGGUGAGACAAGAUACAAGACAUGAAAACCAGCUUCUGCAGCAGCAGUCCCAGUUGGACUGUUGUGAUUUACACAGCAAUCAAGGCUGUGGGGACCAGUGACUGACACCCGGCUACUGACCUGAUCUUUGUCUCUAGUGGAGCUGAGAACAACGGGCAGCUUAAAAGGAGGAGAAGAGCUGAAAUUCCUCAAUGCUAAACUGUCUGUAAUAUCGAAAGAAAGAAAUUGAUCUCUCUCUGCUUCUCCCAUCUAUAAAACUGAAAUAUUCCUGCUUAUAUAGGCUCAGGGCAGUUCUCAUCAGAAGUGGUAAACCUUAGUAACUACCCCUUAGUCUGCAGCGAUGCCCCUUAGGUUUCACACUGAGUCAGACCCUGGCAUGAAUAAUAGCAGCUCUAAUGCUAUUCCAGUUGAAGCAAUGGAUACAACUCUUUGGCUCUGUAGCUUUACCACGUCAUGAGAUUGGAACUAUUCAUGACAAACGGGAUAGUACUAACAGUGAGAGCUACAGCCCCAAGCAGGCUCCAGCAAAGGAUGUAACUGAGCUUCCCUCAGCUCUCAGUUUUAAGGGUUUAGCCAGAGAUUCUGACAAGCAAUACAGAGCUACAAAGUUAUGUCCGCUGUUCAGCAGCACCUAAAUGGGAGAAGGGGAGCAGCAACUGAAAGACAUUCAGAAAUGCCAGUGAACUCUCUACUUUUUUUUUUUUUUAAGCCACCCAGAUUUCUGUUUGCUCUGUGCAGUCAGAUCAGAGCAAAGCAGACAGGCUAAGGCUGGGCUUCACAAGUGUUGAAUAAUACUGGUUUUAACUUUGGAUGACAAAACGUUGUCCAUUUUCCUUUUUUAAAGGAAACAGAUAUAGAAGCACUAGCAGUUACACAUUCUAAGUACUUUCUAGGUCACCUUUCUACUAACAGAUCAGUUAUCAGAUUUGAACUAUUUUCUUACAAAGUAGUUACACCAAAUAUCUGUCACAGCCCAUACGUGCCUUUGUAGGGAUCUACAAAGUACAUGAAAGUAAAAUAUGCCCAAAUAUAGUACAGUAUAGUAGUUGGAUAUUCCAGAAGUUUAGGAGUAUUCUGGCACCUAUAUUUUAAAUCUUGUGACAGAAAAUGUGUAAGUAUUGCCAAAGCACAAAAGAACACAAUUUUUGUUAUCAGAUAUCCAAUGGAUUUUGCACUGUGUGAACAAGUUGUGGACAGCUGACAAAAUUACUCUAUAUUUCACUUCUUUUGACUUCAGAGAUCAGCCUUCUUCCAUCUGGAAUACCAUUAUUUUCAGAUUAGUAUUUUGUACCUGAACUUCAGCAAUGGAACUAAAACCAGUCAAAAUCCUUUCUAUUACAUCACAAAUCAUACUCAGCAUUAAUUUGAUAUGGUGCAGCACAGAGACAUCUACAAGUAGUGACAGAUUCAGUACUACCCAUAACACAUUUUUAUGUCAUAUACUUCCAUAGUCUGCAUAUGUAGAUGGUGUGGAUUUCCUGGAAUUUUGAUGUACACAUUAAGAUUUCUAUUUAAAGUAUUUAUUUCACAUGUUUACUUGCUUUGCUUAAUAUGUGAGGACCUACUGUUAAAUUUAAGAUUUGCUGAAUUAGGUUCUAAAUUUCUUACACUUUCAACCAAAAUAGCUGACAGUCUUAACCAUUUGUGGCAUGUUAAAUAGCUAUUAGAUAGUGGUCCUCAGGGACAAUCUAAGACAUCCUCUCGUUCAUAAUAUGUUAAUGUCCCACAAGCUUUUUGAGCAGUGUAAGAAUUUCAAAUACUGACUCUCAGCAUUUGACCUAUUGGUUGAAUCUAAUUAUGUCUGUGAAUGGCAUCAGAUAGAUCAAAUAUAACAAAGGAAUAGUUAUAAAUGCUUGUGUAACACAGCAAAAAGGCUUCCUGAGAUAAAUCUCUAGGCCAGCAUAGGCAAAGCUCCAAUAACGUGGCCAAGAAACUGCCAAUUAAUUGCAGUUACUAAUCAACUGUAUGCUAUUAUUUGUAGUGCUAAAAAUAGAACUCCUGCUAGAAAGAUCUAGACGAGAAACAGGAAUACAGCAUAGAGCCUGUUUUCAAAGUAGGUGUUGCAAAGUAUCUACAAGAUACGUUGUAUCUUCCUUUAUCACCUGCUCAAUGCAAGAAAGAAAUGCAGUGUUUCAUGCUGGGAUUUAUAAUCUCGGUGGACUGUACCAUGGUAUCAAAGAUUAAGUCAGCUACCAUCUGCUCCAUUUUAUGCAAAAUAGAUGUGGCCCUUGAACUUCUGGCAAUUUUCCAAUUCAAUCCUCCAUGCCGAUUUCUAACACUCCUGCCUUACAGGAUAUCCUAUUAUUCAGCUCAGACAGUAAAUUGUACUAUUCAUGGUCAACUAUUUGUUGACCAUGUACACUGUGACACAACGGCAGGGCAGAAAGGUAUCUACUCUUGUCUGUUUUUAAAAAAAAAAACAACUUAGGAGAAUGUUCUGAAACUGUGUGUGUCUGUGUGUAUAUAUAUAUACUUUUCAUUAUAAUGAAACAAAUUCAUUCUUUACCAUCAGGUUUCUGCAAGUGUUACAGGAGUGCUUAGUUACUAGGUUUUACUCUUAACUGUUGAUUAUUUUUUUUAAAUACACAAAUCCUGUUGCACUGUUAACUUAAAAUUAAAGACGAAAAGCUUAAAAAGGUGAUCAACAUACAAUUCAAGCAAGAAGCCUGAUGCAAAUGAACAUUUAGCAAACUCAGCCAUAUCACUGCAGUGAACAAAUUUUGUUUUUAUAGAGAAUGUGCAGAAUUUGCGUUUUCAAGAUAGCAUUCAACCUUGGUAAUAUAGAAGGAUAAUUUGUCUGAAUUGUCAAUAACUCUUGAAAAUUUUAGUUAGUUAUAUUUUUCCAUUUAUUUUUAUUCUGGCAUUUUAUUACCUGGGGCUAAGGUAAUACUUUGUAGUUACGGUUAGAAAAAAAUUUGUAAUACACAUAUAUAUAUCUCUUCAGAGAUUCCAGAUGUGGUCAAACGCUGUGGCCCACUGUUUGGUGUAAUGCAAGUUAAAAUUGUGUUUGCUCCAUUUCAAGUAUGUGAAACACGUUACUGACAUUUGGUUGCACAGAAAAUUCACUUGUGCUUGGUUUUGCAUUUAUUAAAAAUGAGCAACAGAUUAUUUUCCCAAAAGUCACACCCUGAUCUGCCUGUAAUAUUUUUUUAUUAUUUUAAAAUGUUGGAGCAGAACAUGAAGUAUAGCUCUAAAAAGCCAUAAAUAUCCUAAAUUACAUUUUUAAAUUUUACUAUGUAUUGUCAGGAAAGACAGGAGUCAAGAAUAGCAAGCAUACAAAGGUGAAAUUAAUUCACCUUUUGAACUCUCAAUGUGCACAUAUUUAAGAUUUGAUCCUAGUAGUCCUAAACAUUUUAUCAAAUCCAGGGAACCAUUCGUAUUCAGAUAAAGUCUGUGAUAGCAGGGGUUUCUUAUCUUCAAAGGAAGAGAGAAUUCAGAACCUCAAUACAAAGAGAAAUCCCAUGCUUCUGAUAAGAACUGUAAAUCUUCCCUUUGAAGACUGACACUAUGAAGAAUUCCUGCUUAAAGAAGCCAAAGCAAUAUUUUAACCAACAAUGUCUGGACUUAGAUGUCAUACCCUACAAAAUGCAAAAAUUUUUAGGAGAAUAUAUGCUAGAAGGUAGAACUUAUCUGAACUAAAGCAGUUACUGUAGCGGACUCAACUAGAACAGUAGCAAUGCUGGAAGUGGCAGUCUAAACAGAACUCCCAUGGUUACUGCCAUUAUCAAUUUGCUGUCAUUUCACUCUCAUCAUAGAGACCUUUAUGUCACAGUGACUAACAAUAAAGGAGCCCACAGCACUCCUGCAAGUGACUGCUGGUUUGAAGGACUGAUGGCUUUUCAAAGACAUUCAUAGUUUAGCUCCUUAUGAUGGAUUUCAACAUGAUGCCAAGAUUUUAAUUUUGCAGUGCAUUAAAUAAAAAAGCGACCAAAUAAAAAGAGCGAAGUGUUAGCUAUACUACAGGUAAUACACCUCUCCUCUAUGGAAUUUUUUUUGCAGAAUGUUUACUUUGCAGACUAUUAUCUUGACUGACAACAGAAGUUCUAAGACUCAGGUAGGUCCAGGUGCAUAUUUACUGUAACUUCUCUCAAAUGCUGUUAGUCUGUUGUCCCUUUGUUAAAUGUUAAGUCAAGAAGUCUGUAAAUGCUACAGGGCAUGGCAUGCAUAUACUUUGCAGGACAAGUAAGAGACUCUGCUGCCUUUUCUAUAUACUUGUUAGAUCCUGGAACUGAAAGGGAUGCAACAGCAUUUGGGAAGAUUCCAAGGAGACUGUAUAAUUUUUCUCUAAUGUUAUCCUCCUGCUACCUCAUUCACUUCCAAAAUUACAUUUUUGACCUUUAAAUUUUUCCCCAACUUCCUUCCAAGAAAUGUUUGAGCCCACAGGACAAUUUUGAAAAUGUUUAUCGUCAAAAGUUACUAACUGAACUUACUUUAAAGGGGAACAUGGCUGGCAAACACAACAGAGAAGUUAUUUUUCCCCUAUAAUGAUUUAGCCUUUGAUGCAUAGACAGAUGGUCAUGAUCUCCUCCUCCUCCACCCAUGGAUUUUUCUAAAAUGACACCCAAGUUUUUCUUGGCAGCAGUUAGAAAAUCUGGCAAACAGCUCACUUCAGCUCCAAUUAUAUUGACCACAUUAAUGCAAAAGAUCAGCAAAUGAAAUGUUCCAUAUUCAUUUGGAAGAGAUGAAUUAAAAUUUGCAAUGAAAUAAGAUAAAUGCAAAUGAGAAACAAAUGCCAGCUACUUGCAUCCACCCUUGUAUCUAAGGAUUUACUGUGACCCGUUUUUUUUCACUGAGAAUGAAUGCUUCUUGAAGGCACAGGGUGUUAAGUCUCUUGUAGUACUUCUUAGGGCAGUAACACUUUAUAGAACCAGAUUUCUGAGAAAUGUCUUCAUAGGCAGAAUAAUAUCCAUUUGCUCUGAGUAUUUUAAGGAAUACUAGAGAAUAACACUUGCCCUCCAUGCUCCAGGGACACCAACUCUUCAGAUGAAUGUUAUCUCUAUAUUUAUUAUCAAGGCUUUUCACACUUGCCUGUGCUUGUCACAAACUCUCCUGGGCACAGGAAAAGCAACCAGGAAUGUGACUAAUUCCCUAUUCAAGGGCUUCUAGCCGAGUAUUUUUUCCAAGGCAGUGUCUACCGUCCAAGGUACAUUUCUUUUACAAGGCAGAAAGCAAAUCUUGCUGGCAAUUCUUUUUCCACCCAGUUACAGGCUAAUUUCUUGCUACUACUGUGUGCUGUGGCAACCGCGUGUUAGCUCCUGUCUGCUAGUAACUGGUGGGCAGGUUUGUACAUCUCUACCAGUAUAUGGGCCAUUGCAAAUAGUUUUACCUGUGGCAGCUAAAUAGUGUUCUCUAGGGAAAGGUGUAUCUUUAGAAAGUUAUAUUCAAAUUACUUAUUCACCAUCUCUGUAGAAGGGGCAGUAGGUAGAAUAUGUUUAACCUCUGCUGUAUAUAUACGUAUGUCUCAUUAAAAAAAAAUUGUAUAUAUUUGUUCUACUGAAGUAUAAAUACCAACAAGUUACAUCAGUCAAGAUGCCUUGUGAUGACAAUUUUUUGCUCUACCCAGGUGCCCAGACCAUCUCUAAUUCUGGGUCUGAUUCAUCAGCAUGAAUAAUAUAAAAUGAAUUGUGCUCAAAGUAUUCACAGUUCUGAGCUAUUUAAAAGACAUUUGUAAUUCUUAGAUACUGAGCUAUCAAACCAAAAACUUCUGAUCAUUCUGCUUGGCAGAAAAAAAAAAAAUCUGUGCUUGUGUAACUAUGCUUAGAACAAAUAGACCUGGGAAACUGUAUACCAAGUUCUAGCAUUUGUAUUCACACAUACUACAGCAAAGUUAUGAAUUGAAUAUCUUAUUUCAGGUCUGUGAAUAUUUUAAGGAAAUGUCCAGCAUUGAAUCAUAGACAACAGGAUUUGAAAUGACAUGUUAAACCUAAAGCGUGUCCAGUGCUACUUUUUCAUCAAUUCUUAUCUUUGCCAUAAAUAUCACACCCUCCUACGCUGUAUAUAUUCAUUACACAGCUGCAGCUCCUCCUCUAAGCUAGCUAACACAGCUGUAGCUAUAGAGUGCAGACCAGAUGGCCAGUCAAAACCCUGCUUCCUAUUGUCUGCAAAACACAAUAACCAUUACCAAUAGUCUCUGCUUCUGAGCCCACACCUUGUGUGUUUUAUAUUUCCUCAGUCAAAAACUGGCCUGGAUCACACAUUCAACACCAUCAUAACUUCCUUAGGGACUUUUUCUACUGUUUGAUUAGCAUCCUCAACUCAUUUUCCCUCCUUUUUUUUUUGUAGUAGAAAAGUUUGCUUUCAAAACACAGUCCUUUUCACCUGUUUUAGCCACACUAGGCAUAGGAGUUCUGCAUUAACUCCUGAAGAUUUGACUAUUUCAGCAAAAGAGCAAAGAAAAAAAGCUUUUUUUUUUCCUUUCCACACUUUACACAUAUAUCAUUUCCACAAUAACAUAUAUAUAAAUUAUACACAUACUAGGAGUGAAUUCAGAAAUGGGGAGUUACAGACAGCACCCAUCUUACAGUAUGAAACAGGUUUGGCAGUUACUCUAAAGUAGUCAGUGGAAGUGUGGCCAUCAACUUGAGUCAGCUGUCAAGACUCAUGAAGGGGAAUAGUGGCAAUAGCAGCUUGUAAAAGAUAUGGAUAAAAGAGCUUGCUAUACUGGAAAGAUAAGAAAGGGGAUCAUUUUUCUGGGGGUAUAGGGAAGGAGGGGUCUUGGUGUAUUAAUGCCUCAUGUAACUUCAUACUAAUAGGACUGGCUAAAUACAUACUCAGUUUUUAUUAAGGCUGUAACAUUUGAAAUAGAUAAUACAUACAAUUAAUUCCAAUGGCAUAGGAAAAACAUUAAAAAUUACUGAUCAAUUAUUUGCUUAUAAAUUUUGGGGGGUUGAUUUUUUUUUUAGAACUGCUAUCCACUGAAAGGAGCUUGAAAAGCACGCUUAAAAAACCCCAACACAUUCUGCUCACAUUUGGAAGCAUAACAUCAAAAUCUCUAGUCUUCUGCAUCUAACUUUUUAAGUGAACUAUUUUUUUCUUGCAAGUUCUUUGUUAAACAAACGCAUUCCUCCAAGCCAGUACAACAGAGGCUUCUCUGUGCAGAUAAGUUUAACUCCAUAUUCUGUGCAAGUUUUAUUGCUAAUAAUCUGAUCACAUUUCAUGAGUCCAACUGGUCAUAAUACAAACCUGAUUUUCAUCAUGGCCUCUCUGCUGUACCUUUUGUUCCAUUUUCACAAGUGUGUGUGUGUAUGCAUAUAUAUAUGUAUCAGUCCCCUAGUAAUUUUCAAGUAUCAAUCACUUCAAAGGGCAACUGUUGCUAACCCCUGCGCUCAGCAGUUUUGGGUUUUUUUUAUACUGUUCCAUUUGAAGGGAAGCCAAACAUCUCUGUAUGGGUAGCUUUUGAAAUGGGGGGGAAAUAUUCCAACACAACUGAAUGACACAAUCUCUAACAUCUAGAAGAAGAAAAGAGUCUAAGGAAGCUGAAUUUUAAACUGUGUUUAUUUGGAAUGUGCAAAGACAAAGGAUGUUUUCAACCAGAAUGCUUGUGAUCUUCCUCAUACCCUUUUGUAAACCAGUAAUGCCUACAAAAGCUGUGCAGCAAGCAGCAGAUAGUGCUUGUCCUCAAAACAUUUGAAAGAGUAAAAGCACCUUGCUAACUCCAAAGAGAAUCUUCUCAGCAACACCUCCUGUGAAGCUCCUGCAGCUUUAUAAACUAGCUUGACUUACCAACAGCUGCCUAUUGAAGACCAGAGGGGAAAGCAUGCCCAUGGGGAGAGAUGCUGGCAGACAGUUCUGCCAGUGGCAAGGCAGCUAGCCCUGUUACCUCUCUGGCUCACUGUGCAGAACAGAAGAGGAGAGAUGUGGUCUCUCAUUUAGGGCAAUUCCAGGACGGUAACAUCUCAUCAGCCCAACUCUUUUAGAUUCCUUCUCAAGCACACCCAAGUCAGGAUAGAUAUGAAGCACUAAUGCAAUUUGUUUGAUUUUAUGUAGCUCAUUUUCACCCUUAGGCUAUGAAUAUCUAACAGCUUCAUACUCUCAGUGGUCAUGGGGCCUUGCCCUGUUGAAUCAAUUACAGUUAUCCAAUCUCAAAGUAAAAGACAUAAAUCAUGUGAUGGCUGCAUUAAAGAAGGUGGUCUAAUUACAGAAUCACAGAGUAGUUGAGGUUGGAAGACACUUAAGUUUAGUACAGUGCCCCUGCUCAAGCAGGGUCAGCUAGAGCAGGUUGCCCAGGGCCUUGCCUCCCAGAAUGGAGGCUCCACAAUCACUCUCAGCAACAUAUUCCAGCAUCCAGCCACCUUCACAGUGUUUUCUUGCAUUUAGAUGAAAUUUAACAUGUUUCAGUUUGUGCUUGUUGCCUAUUAUCCUGUCACUGAGCACCACUGAGAAGAAUCAGGUUUGUCCUGCUUAAAAAAAGGCAAGAUACAUUCCUGAUCCUUUUGAAAUGUAAUUGCUUAACAGCACCCGAAAAUACGAUCUGCCUCCACAAUGACAAACAUGGGUGAAAAAUGAUGGGGUAAACCCUCAGUCAUGAUUACAAGAAGAAUCUUCAUGCUGACCAACCUGAGCACUGCUUAGCAGUGCCUAUAGUAAAUCAACAACUGAUGAAGAGUAGCAUGAAAGACAGUAAUCAGCCCAGACAGUAACCUUCUCUGUGGCCAGGACAAAGGCACUCCUUACUGCAAGAAAUCUUGUUAAAAUGGGUAUGUAAUUCUUUGCUGUAGCAAAUUUCUGCUAGGUAGGGAGGCAAGAGGAACUGAAAGAGUACUACAAAGUAUCUGUUGUUGUAGUUCUGCUUUGGCUAUAGCAGAUGUCAGCAACCUGGGGAAUGCUAUAUCCUUCCUACUUAGCAGUGACCCAGAGUACUAGGGUCACCUUCACCAACCCUACCCUAGGGUGCUGUAGUCACUUCCCCAUUAAGAUCAGCAGUUAUAGGUGGUGAGCUGUUGCAUCCUGUUUUGCUCAUUUUCUACUUGGCUGUCAACCUUGUUUCUAGUCUUUCUUUACUGGCUGAGGAGCAUAAAGAAUUCAGAAACCUAGAGAAUCUGCCUUUGAAAUUGUUACCUGUACCCAGUGAAAUGCUAAGAACAGCUGUGUGAUGCAGCUAAAGUAGCAUCUAGUGAUCCUGCUCUGACUAGUCUUACUGAAAUUGUCCCUUUUUAUUCCAAGAAGGUUUUAUUAUGCAACAAAGGCAAAUUAAACAGCUGCCAGGUUUAAAUGGUGCAAAACCUAGAAAUCUGAUGCCACCCAUAGUUCUGAUACUGAAAAGUGAGCCAUGAAAAAAAAAUGACUGACUUUGCAAUCAUAAAGCCACUGCUCAAAACACUUAGAAAAGAUCUGCAAUUUCACAUUAACUCUUCCUUGUAUCCCAAAAAAGAUCAGAUUUUUCUAACUGUCGGGAAGCCCAGGUAAUUAUUUUUUUUUUAACAUGAAAAGGCCUGAUUAAAAAUGAUAUUUUUUAUAACUUCUUGAAAAAAAUAGAUAAACUUAACUUCAUGAAAAUAAGGAUUGCCAACACUUGCUUAAGUCAAACAGAGUUCAGGAAGAUACUGCGCAAGGUUCCCCCCAUGCAGUGCUGCCAAUUGAUUUCAGUUCUAGCUUGAAAAACACCUGCUAUUUUAGCCUUGGGCCUCUCCUUCCAUAGUAUUUUUAUAGCUUAGACAAAUACACACCACAUGUAGAAUCAAGUUCUCAAGUCCUCUUUUCUAGAAAGCACAAAUUAUAUUGAUUCUCAUAAACCACAACUGGGGAGGCCUGCAGAAGGGUGUGUGAAAAGAUUGUAGCUGGUUUGCAGUUGUCAAUAAUAUUCACAGACAGACUUUAGUGGUGUUUCAGUGUGAUCUGGGUAGUAUGUAAUUUCAAAUUAACCCUGAAAAACAACUAGUGGUUUUAUCACCACUUUCACAAACCCUGCAUACUUCAGAGCAUGAAGAUCAAAACUAAAGGAAUGCCUCCACUUACACGAAUUAGAGGCUACUUGUGUUCUUGUACUGCUUAUUUAGGCCGUUCUCUAGAUGAAAGAGUUUGAAUUAUACAGUAGGGUCUUCAUGAUGCACAAAGCCUCACAGAGUCUUAUGGACUAAGGUAACUGAAACCCGACAUAGAUUAGUCGCAUUUCCAUGCCUGUCUUAGCAGCUGUGAUUUUUUUCCCCAGUAACACUUCAGUAAGUGACAAAUUCUAUACAUAACCAUGCAUAUGUGAGAUAAAGCACUUGUUUGCCUAAUGCAAAGCAUACCUACCUGGAAUAGGCUACAAAUUCAGGUAGACAUCUAAACCUUUUAGCCCAUGGAAGAGAAUGUAGCUGCUUUAAUGUACAGUGAAUGAGAGGCUGAGACUGGGGCCACUAGAGAAGGGCCAGCUAUGUAGCAUCAUUAUUCAUCAGUCUUGCAUUAGGGAUAAAGAUAUAGUGGCAAAGAAACUCCACAACUGCUCAAUGUAUAGUUGCAAAUGAGCACUGCUAGUUUGUAGCAUAGUUGAUCUCUGACACUACUACUGCUCAUGGCAGAGAAAGAAUUCUUUUCUCCUUUGACUGCAGUAAAGAAGCUCAUGUAGACUUCAAGCUAUAUGAGAUACAGCAAACAUUGUUUUGAAUAAAAUGCUAUCUGCAGACUUAACAAUAAACCUCAGUGACAACAUGUUUGACAUAUUCUUGCAUUUAAUAUACUAUAGAAAAAUGGCAUCUCAAAAUUAUGACUCAUUCCUAACACCUCACUCAUAAAUAACUCCAUGAGACUGUGUAUGGACAAAAAGUUUUAAUUAGUAUUAAACUCUUUAAAAUGUUUUAGAAGUUGAAAUUGCACAAUGAAUGGACAAGGCAUGCCACCAUCCUGCUUAAAAAUAUCUGACAGAUAAUACGGAGAGCUUUGUUUUCUAAAAAACCCACAAUGUUUGUUCUGUUCUCUCACAACAGAAUGGGAAUGUAAUGGUCAAGACUUAAUGGCCAAGGCAGGUCUUAAUCAUGAAACACGUUUUUUUGCAGUAAUUGUUUCCCAGUAAUUGUCCCAUUGCUUAUAUUCUAAUGUAUUAUAAAAUAAACAUGUGUGUUUAUUAUAACUGUUGUCUCAUAUAAAAGUCAUCUCUCACUAUUACAACAGCAAUUACCUGAGUGGUAUCAUAUACUGUGUAAUCCUGCACUGGUCUGUGUAGACUCCAAAGCUACCUGAGGUUCUGAGGAAUGGGGUGCUAACAGCAAGGCCAGACAGUGACCAUCAGUCCAGCUGCAGCAUACUCUUCCAUCAUAAAAGGAGGGAAGGGUUUACUGAACGACAAGCUUUCCACAUUUCUAGCAAUACAGGAAUUCUUUUCCCAGUGUCUCUUUUUAGGCAUGCAGCUUAAACACUAUGGCAGGGAACAGCAAGAGCAGGUUGCUCCCUAAGGAAAGCUGAGCUGGCAGCUAAGGGGUGGUUACAGUGCAGACUGGGCAAGGACCUCACCAGCAGCAUACAGUUCCACAGCACCAGAGACAGGCAAGCAAAGCAGGAUAGCAACAGGAACAGGUCUUGUUAGUGGUCCAGUGAUCAUCAGGCAAGACAGGGUCCCACAUCCAUUAAGAGACACACUACAGCACUUCAGGAACAGAGCCAGCAGCAGGCCAUCUAAGACAUAUUUUAGGAAAGGAUUGAAAUGCCCAGCCUGAGCUUAAAUAAGAAUCCCUGUUCAAAGGUGUGGGGAGACCUCAGGUGAGGCUGGUCAGAUUAAUUACAGAGAGGUUGUUACUGUGCUCAGGGUCCUGAUGCAGAGCACACAGGUUUAUAUGACUGAUUUUUAAGCCUGUGUCUUUUUGUACAAUUAGCAACAUAAAAAGAAUACACACAUAGAGAAUACAGGAGAAUGGUACACAUGCUUCUCAUUCCCCAGAUUCUUUGUUACUCUGCAACAGCCUUUGGACAUAUAUCACAAUUCUCUAACAUACCCUGGAUCAUUCUUCUCCUUAAAAUGUUUGGCGAGUCAUUUAUGAACUUGAUUUCCUUUCUGAUAUGUGGUGCCCCAAAUGCUCAUGAGCUUUUAAGUCCCUUCAUAAGUGAUAAAUUGCCUUAUAACUACUCCAGAAUGUGACAGAAUCAAUUUUCUGCAUUUCUCUUGCUUUUCUGUCCAUGGAUUUUUAUAGGAAGCUCAUUUAAUUAGAACUAAAUCUAUAUGAAAGAGACCCUGUACUCAAGUAAGUACCUUGGAUGUGUUAAACACAAAUUUUGAUCUAAUAAAUAAUGUUUCAAACAAUUAUUUUCUAAUAUGUCUUUUUAAGUACCUUGUGCUAUAGUUAACAUAUAUAUGUAUGUAGUUAUGUAUGUACAUAACUAAUGCACAAGUGCAGUGACAUUCUCAUGCAUAAGUGGUCUGCCACAAAAAUUUGCAUUUAAUGAUGAAGGCACAAUAAUUCUAAGAAGCAAGAGUCUCCCCUAAUCAUAACACACUACAAGACAGGAAGGGAAAAAAAACCAAUACGAAAAGAAGACAAUCAUUGUCUACUUACACUAAUUUACAAAAUUAAAUGAACUAUUAAUCUUCAAAAUCAGUCAUGAGAGAUUUUUUAUUUAGGAGUAGAUAUUUGCUUUAUGUAUAAAGUGGAAGCAUGGAUUAUUUUCAUGUCCUCUCAUGCACAGGAGUGAAACUUUAUAUAUUGCCUAAAGCUUUAAACAUAUUCAGGUUGUACCUGACGAAGUGAGCGCAGUUUGGAGUUGAGCCCUUCAGCGUGGGUAUUAGCCAUAGUCAACAGCCAAGUUUAGUCCUAGAAGGUUUAGCAAAAGAGAUUUCUGGCAGUUGUUCUGCACCCAGCAAUAAUUUUCCCAGACAGCAAUGACUACAAGCAUAGGGAGCAGUCUACACUGAAAUCAGCACCUGUUAGAAAUACAUGUACUCUGCUGGAAAUUGGUAGCUACAGUCAGAAGCAAGAAGGUAAUCAGUGCAGACUCUACAGGCCAGUCAUUGAAUGCUUCCUGAUGCUGAAACAGAUAGGCUGUAUGCUUCUUGAAGCUUCUGUACUGCACUGCACAGAAAAAUAUUCAAUUGUAAUUAAUGAUUAUAGAAAUUUGCAUAGUAGUCCUAUAUCAAGUGCCAUGUGACCUUCAAUACGGAUUAUUAGAAAGGUACAAACCCUACCGGAAAUACUGGGUUUGAGAUAAGCAUAGUUUUGCUCAGUGUGGGUUGAAAUGAUAGACACUCUGAAACCAGUGCCUCUACAGGCAACUAACAGACUGGUAACCUCUUUUAAAAAUGUGGGUAAUAGUGGGAACUGCUUCCUAAGUUCCUGAAGGGCUAACAGAUAUCAUUAGGAAAAUUAAAUCCUACAAUACAGGAAAUAGGUCUCAGAGUAUAUUGCUUCAAAAGAGGAAAAUAUUUUUGCUUAUUGCCUCAUCUGUUUCAUUUCUAACUUCAUUGGCUUUUAAAAAUGUAUUCAGCCUUGUGAAUUAUUCUAUGAUGGAAUAUAUAUAUAUAUAAAAUUUAUUCUAUUAUACUGAUCUAUUUUCAGUGAGUGGAAUAAUUUAUUUUACAAAAUUAAACGAUAACAUUAUGGUGAUUCUUAAUGUAGCAUCUCUAAAGAAACAACUCCUUUUAAUCUUCACAGAAUACAUACAUAAUGCCCAUAGGAAUAAUUCAUAAAAAUAAAUCACAUUGACACAUUCCAUGAUAUCUUGUAAGGCCCUGCAGGGUGGCAGUGGCAGCAGCCACUUUUAUUUAGCAUGUGUCUAUUCCCCCAAAAGCUUUCUGUCCUAGUUUUAAUUUGGCUUUACAGCAUGCUAAGUAAAUUGUUUGGAUUUUUUUUCCCCUACAUUUGAGAGACUAUCUGAUAGUUCAUUGCUAACCUUUCUAAAGCUGACCAUAGGUCAGAAGCAUCAUCAUUCCCUCCUCUGUGAGAAAGUUCUAUGUACCUAUAGCAGAUUUUCAUGGGCAAUUUCUCUGCUGGUGUGAAAGCUCAAAAGAAAUGUUAAACCAACUAAUACGAAGAAUCAUAGGGAUCACAAGAUCACAGGACAGUUCACUUUGGAAGGGACCUCAGAAGGUCAAUGCAUCAAAUGUUAUACGCGGGGAUGACUAGCUAUCAUACAUACAGCAGAGCUAAGUCAGACCAAGAAGGUGGCACCGAGCAGGUCAUGAGACCAGUAUCAUGAAUAUCAUGAUAUAAAAGCAACAUUUCUGGUAUUCUUUUGUGUCACGGCAGUUAGAGUUGCUUACAUACUGAAGUAUCACUGUUUAUCAUUAACUGGUAGUCUGAAAAGUGAUCCCACGGGAAGCUUUUCUUGUCUCAGGAAGGUUCUUACAGGCUUCUUAAAACCAUUUUCUUGUCAAUCAAAAUAAAGGCUUUGAUAUGGAAAGCAAAAGCUGGACACCUCUUUUCAGCUUCAGCUAUUCUAUGGCCUUCUUCCCAGACUUGCAUCUAUGCUAAGUAUUACAGUUCUGGACCUCUUAGCCCUCUACCAUCCUGUCUGUGUAUUGUGUACCCUCUAAUGGAGAGGUGAAAAAAUAUAUUCUGAAUAUGUGAAAUGCAAAUAAGUAAUAACUCAUAGUAAACAUCUGCAAUGUUUUAUUUAUAAGCUACAAAUACCCAAAUAGCUGUAAAUUUAUUAGGAAGAUAUUUUCCUGUUUGUUUGGAGUUGUCCAAGAAAUGGCCUUGUCUCACAGACUAUGGAAUAAAACGUUUUUAUUUUUAGAUAUGCAUACCUCAUGCUAUUUUACUGUUCCAGUUUAAUCACUACAAAUGCAAUAUACAAAUACACAGCUGCAGUGUAAAUCCAAAGAUACCCAACAAACAACACCUCCCCCAACAAGCAGGUCUCACUUAACUGAUAUUCUAAUAGUUCCUCUUUUGUUAUUGGAUUUAAGGAGAGUUUAAAGGCUGUAUUGAUAUUGAGUUGCAACAUAUGUUUUACAGUGUUUCUAUAAUAUCAGGUAGAAGGUGUAACCACAGAAAGUGUUUCCUAUUGAAAUUAAUACAUAUUUUAAAACAUGAUCAGAGAAACUGGGUGAGUGGAAUUUUACAUAGAAAAAGGAAGUUAAAUUUAUGGUCUCUGCAUACAAAAAAAAAAUGUACAGAAUCCUUGCUUUCACAGGUAAUAAAUCUUAAGAUAUUUUUUAGGUAUUGUACAGCUGUUAGGCAAUGCAGGUCAUGUGGAUAUAUAUUCUAGUAAUACUUCUACAGGCAGUAAUUUUAAAAUUUAUUUCUCAUACAGUUUGAAAAUAUAUUUGAAGAAGUUGUAGGACAGUGUCUCUUUAAAUCUUUUUGGUAUGAAAUAGCAAUAAUGAGGGUUUUUUAGAUUAACAUUAUUAGCCUUUUUUUCAUGAAGGUAGUAUAUUCCUAGUGGUAACCUGUAUAUAACUAGGGUUUUUUUUCUAUGUACAUUUAUCCUAUAAUCCAAGAUUAAAAUACAGUCAUACCAGUAUGCAAAAUAUUACCCACUUAUAGUUUUAAAUGUUAAAUUACCUAAAACCUUUUUUUUUUUGCUAUGUGUUUCAUUUGAAGAUCUUAUGGUUUAGUUCUCCCUGGCAACCCUUUAAGAGAUGUUAUUGUCUACUCUUAUUUUACAUGUGAGGCAACUGAGAUAAAGAAAAUUAAACUGACCUAUACAAACUUACUCAAUUAUUAGCAGAGUUGAGAGCCCAAUCAUAGCUCUGCUGAAGAGAAACCUAAAACUCUGAGGUGGUUCAGGAUGGCAAGAUUCUGCAGAAGGUCUUCUGUUUGUGCUGCUAAAAUAUUUUCCUCAACAUUAAAAGUAAGAACAGGGAUUGUAAUAUUUAAAGCUAUGAAGUGGAAGGCAGUACUCAAACUUAUUUAUGCAACAGUAGCCUUUCAAAAACCUUAAACUGAGUCUGACAUUGAAAAAAAAUUUGCAAACUGUACCAUAAUUCUUACCUCCCAGAGAUAAAAGUAUGUUCUGAACUUCAGCUUGGGUUGAGCAACCCCUCAAUUUGCAGUUCUGAGCCAGGACCCUGAUGGCAAUGCAGCUGCUCAGGUCUCUAAUAACCAUCACUUCAAUCACCAUCAACAAUGAAUGUAAACUUUAGAACUGCCUUGAGCUAUACAACUAAUUUGAAUUUUUUGUGCAGUUCGAAAAAGAGGGGAUUAAUACAAAACAAUGUUAGAAAGAAAAAGCUCUUGACUUUGAAAUAACCAUUUUUCUUAGGGAACUUAAUGAAAAAUUUCCACAUGUAAUAUGAAUUUGACAAGCUGUGAUGUUUGUGCUGGAAAUAUUACUGAAGGGACACUAGACGGGUUAUCCUUUCGUCCUCCUUUGAAGCCAGUAGCUUCACAGCCAUCGAUUUCAAUCAGAACAGUAUUAUGGCAAGUACCUUGUAUAGCUGCUUUUACUCUGUUUUUUCUUUAUGGAAGAUAACGUUUAUGUGAUUGCACUACCAGUUUGUCUGCUUGUCUGUCUUUCCAGUAACUUUAAAAUGUAUUUUCCAAUUUUAAUCCAAUUUAAGAGGGUACUUGACUCAAACAUACUAAAUCCCUGUAGGUUUAAUGAAAAUAAGAAUCUGGGUAGAAGACCCUGAGUCCUACAAAGGCCAGUGCAGAGAGGGACUGACCUUUAAUCAUUCUGCUUGGUCUGCCCACCAACCAAGAGACAACAGCUUGCACAUCGUAGCAAACUAACCAUGAAACCCUGGGCUAAUCACAGGAUGUUCCAUAUUGUAAAACCUUAAUUUUAGAACUGGAGAUAAGGUGAUGUAGGGAAUGUAAAAUGAAUGACUAAAAUCUCAGAUUUUACCAGAAAUCAAACUUGGCCCUUAGAGCUUUCAGUGGCAAUAUAUUUGUCUUGUAUUUGAUGGAGAACAAAUACAAGUCUUCCCUUCAAGACCUGGAUCUCCUUUACUGACUUUCAAAGAGUUGCCCUUGUGGGAUAUGUUUGACCCAUUGAUAGUAUUAAAGUUUCAUUACUUGCUGACUCUUCUUUUAUAAUCUCUUAUGCGUACAGCUGCUGAGUAGUUAAAAUAGUUCAAUAUGAACAAAAUAAAUUCAGAAAGGAUAAGCUCUCAAUAGCCAUUGAGAACAACAAUCAAAUGCAACUUCUUGCAUGAGAAAUUCUUGAUUUUCUUAUUCACAGAAGGGGGAGUGUGCCAGAUAAAGGGUGACUUGGCUUGUACGUGGUUCUUGCAUCCUUCCCUGAGUGUCCUGUACUGGCUAAUGCUUGUUCUUUCUCAUUACUUUGGAAAAAACAAUGCAAUGCCAGGAACGGGUACAGGGCCAAACCCAUCUCUGCUCUCAGAACCCCACUGAAUAGUCACUGCAUUGAGAACAUACAAGAGAUUAAACUGAAAAGAAUAAACACUACAGUGGGUUGUUAUUUUGGAGAUAGGCCACUGGGCUAUAGGUGGACCUUUGGUCUGAGCAGCAUGGCCUUUCUUCAGUUCUCUGUUCUUGUAAGCUGUUGAAACUUGAUUAAAGGUCAUAUUUCAUUCAGAAGCCUCUGUCUGACACAUGGCAGCUCUCUAGGACCUGCAGCUAGGGUAGGGUUACCUGUGAUUUAUGAUGGCUCUGGAAAUUAUAACUAGUGCUGUCUAAGCACAGAAGAACUGAAAUCAUAAAUACACUGUUUAUAAAGUAAACCCUUCCCCAAAAAAGGAAGGUAAAACUAAAACUCGAAAAAUUCAGUUUCUUUGGAGUAUACUUUAGCUCUAGACUUGAGACCUGCUUGGGACUAUGUACUACAUGAUAUGACAUGCAUAAUUUUUUACGUUAGUUUCUUGUUUGAGUGAAAACUCAUAAAAUUCCUGUUGGAUGCCUUCUGGACUAUGAUGCUGUAUUAUUCUGCAGCAUCUGGAAACUAUGUAGUUCCAAUGAGUAUCUGCAUAUGACAAUGUCAAAACCAUGUGAAUGCGUAAAAUGUCUCAUCUAUGUAUGAUAAAAGAGGGGAUCAGAUGAGGUAGUGCAAACUAGUUCAUCAAAAGCAUUGGUACCAUUGUUGAAGUCAUCUGGCCUUGAAUAUUUGCGUAUCUGUCAUGGAAACACUUUAUGGUCAAAAUUGUGUUACGCUAUACACAGUAAUCCUACCACAUUAGUAUUUCUGAAAGUGGUUUUGUCCACUCUGAGGCAGAUAACGAGGACUUUCUAGAUAAUGAAGUAUCUCCAAUAAUUGAGUCAACUCCUGCAGAUUUUACUGUGUUAAGAGCCAUGUAAGAGCAAAUUAUGGGGGGCAAGAUGUAUUUUGUGGAGCAAAAUCCCAAAUGAUUCAUAUAAAAAGAAGAUUAAAGGUAGUCAGAGCACUUGCAAGACUGUCCCUUAUUUCUAACAAAAAUAUUUAUAUUACUUAAGAAUUAAACUAGAAAUACAUAUGACAAGGAGACUGCCCACAACUGUAUUCCCAAAUGAAAAUUAAUCUGAUGCGCUCUGCAGAUAUUGUUGGACAAAAUAAUUAUGAUAAUAUAUGAGGGAAAUAUUUGAAUAUUCCACAGUUUUCUUUAUGUGAGAGUCCACCUAAGAUGAGGCUGCAUAAGCCUUAAAAACAGAACUUAAACUUUAAGAUUGUU